GAGUACUAUUAGCAAUGGCCUAAAACUCAAAGGACUUGGCAGUGCUUUACAUCCCUCUAGAGGAGCCUGUUCUAUAAUCGAUAAACCCUGAUAUACCUCACCACCUUUAGCAUUUAUCAGCCUAUAUACUGCCAUCUUCAGCAAACCCUAACAAGUUCUUAUAGUAAGCAAGAGAAUUUUACAUUAAUAUGUUAGGUCAAGGUGUAGCCUAUAAGGUGGAAAGUAAUGGGCUACAUUUUCUACUUCUUAGAACAAAUCUUCAGGACAGCUUUUAUGAAACUUAAAAGCCCAAGUCGGAUUUAGUAGUAAGUUAAGAAUAGAGAGCUUAGCUGAAUUGGGCAAUAAAGUAUGCACACACCACCCGUCACCCUCUUCAAAUACAAUUACACAAAACCUGAUACAUAAUCCACUUGAUUAGACUGUAUGAGAAGAGAUAAGUCAUAACAAGGUAGACAUACUGGAAAGUGUGUUUG
rnacentral:rRNA from 1 species